rnacentral:lncRNA from 1 species
GAGCUACUACUGAAAGACUUCUUUGCUUAUUUGACAAUCAAAGAUUCCCGUUCUCGGAUGAGGGUUCUCCUUCAUUCUUCCAGAAUUUAAAUGUCAUUCAAGAGCUAUUGUAUCUAUUAUUCCACCUAUUCUUGAUCGACAACAUGCACUUGUUUUAAAAAGCCAACAAGUGUUUGUAGUUAUCCAUGUUUAGCAUUUUCAAUAUUUUGAAUUACAUAAUUAAUUUGAACAAGUCUUUCAGUAGUAACUGCUAGAUUCAUCUACCUUUGGUUGCCAAAUAAAGAAAGAAUUUGCUAUUGAUAGACAUUGGAACCUCUAAGUGAAAAAACAAGAGUUCUUUUGCGGGUAUCACAUGUAGCUUAAUCCUGAUCACUCCUUCAAUAAUAUAAUAUAGUGCACAUCAAAGAAGAGUAUCCCCUUUAUAAACAAAGCCCUCUGUGCGCUUUCUUAAUAGAUGAAGCAAUCGUCACUCAAUUGCUCAAAAGAAAAUUUGUACAAAACCAUGUGAUUUGUACUCGUUUACAUACCAUGUGUACUUCCUCGAACCCUUACUACUCCUCGUUCGCUGCUGUUGCUUGUCUUUUAGUGGUCUAUUUAUACUCAACUACAUGAUGGAACUACUCUUAGCCGGUGGUCACUCAACAACUCCAUCCUUGCCUAUGUGUGACCAAAGCUAUCUCUUUUGAUUGAUUUGAUCAAACACUUACUUUUCCCCCCAGAAAAGAUGGAUAAAGCCCUUUUCCAUCUCGCUUUGUUAGUCCACUAACACCAGUUACACUAAGUUAGUACAACACUAGCUACAGUAGUAACUAGUGCAAUGAGUUAGAUUUAACCUUUAUCUCAAGAGAAUUAAAGGAUCGUUAUAAACAAGAAAGAUUAAGUAUUGAGAUAGCCUAUUUUGCUGAAUCCUAAAAGAUCCACCUCCACCUGGAAGUGUCAAUGGACUUCCUCCAUUGGCUCAUGAUCCAAACAACCCAAUGCUUUAAAUAGGGCCCUUGCCGAAGAGGUUGAAAAGUUGAAGUUUGUUGUUUGCACGCUGAAAGUCUUGAACCAAGCAAAAAUUCCUAUAUACACUACCCUUGAACAGCUUUGNNNN